UCGAGCGAAUGGAUUAAGAGCUUGCUCUUAUGAAGUUAGCGGCGGACGGGUGAGUAACACGUGGGUAACCUGCCCAUAAGACUGGGAUAACUCCGGGAAACCGGGGCUAAUACCGGAUAACAUUUUGAACCGCAUGGUUCGAAAUUGAAAGGCGGCUUCGGCUGUCACUUAUGGAUGGACCCGCGUCGCAUUAGCUAGUUGGUGAGGUAACGGCUCACCAAGGCAACGAUGCGUAGCCGACCUGAGAGGGUGAUCGGCCACACUGGGACUGAGACACGGCCCAGACUCCUACGGGAGGCAGCAGUAGGGAAUCUUCCGCAAUGGACGAAAGUCUGACGGAGCAACGCCGCGUGAGUGAUGAAGGCUUUCGGGUCGUAAAACUCUGUUGUUAGGGAAGAACAAGUGCUAGUUGAAUAAGCUGGCACCUUGACGGUACCUAACCAGAAAGCCACGGCUAACUACGUGCCAGCAGCCGCGGUAAUACGUAGGUGGCAAGCGUUAUCCGGAAUUAUUGGGCGUAAAGCGCGCGCAGGUGGUUUCUUAAGUCUGAUGUGAAAGCCCACGGCUCAACCGUGGAGGGUCAUUGGAAACUGGGAGACUUGAGUGCAGAAGAGGAAAGUGGAAUUCCAUGUGUAGCGGUGAAAUGCGUAGAGAUAUGGAGGAACACCAGUGGCGAAGGCGACUUUCUGGUCUGUAACUGACACUGAGGCGCGAAAGCGU
rnacentral:rRNA from 1 species